AAUCAACGCUGGCGGCGUGCCUCAGACAUGCAAGUCGAACGCGAAAGUUCCCUUCGGGGAGCAAGUAGAGUGGCGCACGGGUGAGUAACACGUAGGUAAUCUACCUUUGGAUGGGGAAUAACAAUCGGAAACGGUUGCUAAUACCGCAUAAUGCAGCGGCACCUAAUGGUGACAGUUGUUAAAGCGGGGGAUCGAAAGACCUCGCGUCUAAAGAGGAGCCUGCGGCGGAUUAGCCAGUUGGUAAGGUAACGGCUUACCAAGGCGAUGAUCCGUAGCCGGCCUGAGAGGGCGGUCGGCCACACUGACACUGACAUACGGGUCAGACUCCUACGGGAGGCAGCAGUCGGGAAUUUUGGGCAAUGGGCGAAAGCCUGACCCAGCAACGCCGCGUGAAGGAUGAAAUCCCUCGGGAUGUAAACUUCGCAAGAUCGGGAAGAAUAAGUUGGCGCGAACAUCAACAGCGAUGACGGUACCGUU
rnacentral:rRNA from 1 species